UACGUAGGGGGCAAGCGUUGUCCGGAAUCAUUGGGCGUAAAGAGCGUGUAGGCGGUCCGGUCAGUCGGUUGUGAAAGUCAAGGGCUCAACCCUUGAAUGCCGGCCGAUACUGCCGGGCUAGAGUCCGGAAGAGGUGAGUGGAAUUCCUGGUGUAGCGGUGAAAUGCGUAGAUAUCUGGAGGAACACCGGUGGCGAAGGCGGCAUCCUGGACCGGUAUUGACGCUGAGGCGCGAAAGCUAGGGGAGCAAACGGG
rnacentral:rRNA from 1 species